UGAUUUUAAAUUUCAUUAAGCUUUAGGGAAAAAUUCUAUAAUCUGACUUUAUUCUGCCAUCUUAAUCUAGAAAUUCUGUACUAGGCACUUCUCAUUUAUUAUCUGUCAUAUUCAGUCUUUACAGUACUUCUUCAACAUAUUAAAGCUGAUAUCUCUAAUUCACACAUGAGGACACUGACAUUUCAAAGAGUAAAGCUUCCCAAUUCACUUAACCAAGGGGUGGAAGUCCUGUGCAGACUUGUCUGUCUCUAAAGCCUGUGGUCUUCCUGCUCCCACACUCUGCCUUCUAAUACUGCCAUCUGAUGCUGAGUAUGUCAGCAACCCUUCUCUGGACUUUUCUUAAUUUACCUACAGAAUGAAGAGGGUGGCCUACAAGGUCCUCCCUAGCUCUAAACCUCUGUGUUUAUGAUUAGUAGAAUGAGAAGACUACAUUUUACUUUAACAUAAAUUUCUUUGACUUUACAUUUAAUAAGAAUGGCCAUAUAUUUCAAGUUUAAAUAUAUAUUUACAUAUUUCUGCAGUCGGGAAUUUUAGAUUAUAUAAACCUUUUUGUUUUCUCAACUCAUUUUUCAGGUGCUUUGGAAUUUCACUGCUGUUCUUUUUACCAUAUGGUGUUUGCAAGAGUGAAGUUGGAAAUUUUUAUUCAAAUGUUCAUUUUUUUCCCCUAUAUUAUUCUGUCUCUGUUUAACACUUCUCAGUUUUCUGAGAAUGCCUGAAUUGAAGGUAGUUUGAGGCAGUGAAACAAAGCAAAGUUAAAUAACCCAUUUGGCGGUUAAACCCUCAACCUUGACCUAAACAAACUAAAGUAACUAAGCAAAGAUGACAUUAAGGAGACUAUAGAUCCCUAGUUCUAAGAGUUUAUAAUCCACAAGAUAAACUGACUCGUGUCAGUGUACAUCUGACUCAUAUGUGCACACUCAGUGAGCAGCAGAUUUCUCAGUGUUCACAGUUGCGGAACAAUAGUGGUGCAAGCCAGGUGACAGUGGAAAUUGCAGUGGUCUAUUCGAAUCGGAAGUGGAAACAACGGGUGAUGGUCGUGGACUGUAUGGAGUUGCUUAGGAAUGAGGUCAUGGCGUGUAUGUCCAUGAGGCAGGACUUUGAGAACAGGAGUAGAAACGAGAGAGCUGACCUAGGUCCCCUUGGCCACUCCCAAGACUGUUUAUUCUUGGCAAAUGCUAUUUAGCCUUGGGUCCACAAGACUACUGAAUUAUUUCCCAGGAGUCAACAUUCAACCUUUGGUUUUCAUCUCCUCCUCUCUUGGUGUCAAUUCCAGCCCUAAGAAGGGAGAUAUAGAAUUAAACUCAUCUCAGCCUUCCUCUGGAUAUAAAAGUUAGUGGGCUUCUUUUAACCAUACUUUUCUCAUCUCCAUUUUGUCCAUUUGAUAUUCUUUGAGCACCUUAUUUUUGCCAGACAUUUUGCUAGGCCCUCAGUAUAUCUUGGGCAAACUCUGGGAAAUAGCAAGGGACAAGAAGGCCUGGCAUACUGCAGUCCAUGGGAUCGCAGAGUCAGACACGACUUAGCAACUGAACAGCAACAAGGUAUAUCAUAAUAGAGAAAAGAAAUAGUAUUUGAGCUGAUGAAUUUCUAGUAGGUGAAUGAGAAUUAAAAGUUGAGAAGGGCAUACAAGUAAGAAGCAUAGAAAUCAAGGAAAGGAUAUGGUGCUGGGAUAGAAAAUAGCUGAGAGUGCAGCAGGGAGCUGGUCACCGGUUAAUGAGAUCAUAUCUUUAUUUCAUCCCUGUCCUUAUAUAUUCCAAGUCUCUUGCUCAUAUAUUUGACCACUGCCUUCUGGACUUUUCCUAAAUCCUUAUCUCUAGGUUGUCAGUCUGUAAAACUGAUAAUAUUUUAAAACUUCUUUUAGUUAAAACCCAAGUAUUUAUUCAAGCUGCCCUUAUGUGUCUGGCUCUGUACUAGGCAUUAUGGUGUUUACCACGGGGAUAUAAGGCGCUGUAAGCGCCUUGGGAGCAUCUGUGUUCAUUUUCCGCUCCUGUUCGCUCUGCCCAUCGUUCAUUGGCACUGUGGAGCGCCGGCUUUCACUCUUCUUCCCACGGCUCUAACUUUCAUUCUUGGAACCUCCAGGUAGAAAGUUCAUCCAGCCCCCUGGACCCGCAGCUCCUUGAGCUCCUUUCUUCCAAGUCUGUACUUCACUCUCCCUCAGUCACCUCUCUAAAGCCAUUCUCCCUCCCAGACCUUGUCAUCACAAGCAGCCACUCCGCCGCUGAAAUCUCAUCCUCAGGUGCUGUCGCUUGGACUGUCACGCCCCAUCCUUUCAGCUCACUAGCUCCACACCUGCACGUGCGUAGCUGAGCCUGAUGGGAGGGAGAAAUGGACAGCAGUCCCAAAUGGCGUCCCAUUACCUUGACAGCCAGAGCCUCACGUAGCCCCAGGUUUCCUGGAAGCCCUACUACAUUUGCAUGGUCCGUUCUCCUCCUGUCACGAACCUCCACCGUCCACUUCCCCUUCACAGUGAAUGACUUUGCUUCCUAUUUCACUGAGAAAAUAGAAACCAUCAG
ensembl:lncRNA